AGAGUUUGAUCAUGGCUCAGAUUGAACGCUGGCGGCAGGCCUAACACAUGCAAGUCGAACGGUAACAGGAAACAGCUUGCUGUUUCGCUGACGAGUGGCGGACGGGUGAGUAAUGUCUGGGAAACUGCCUGAUGGAGGGGGAUAACUACUGGAAACGGUAGCUAAUACCGCAUAACGUCGCAAGACCAAAGAGGGGGACCUUCGGGCCUCUUGCCAUCAGAUGUGCCCAGAUGGGAUUAGCUAGUAGGUGGGGUAACGGCUCACCUAGGCGACGAUCCCUAGCUGGUCUGAGAGGAUGACCAGCCACACUGGAACUGAGACACGGUCCAGACUCCUACGGGAGGCAGCAGUGGGGAAUAUUGCACAAUGGGCGCAAGCCUGAUGCAGCCAUGCCGCGUGUAUGAAGAAGGCCUUCGGGUUGUAAAGUACUUUCAGCGGGGAGGAAGGGAGUAAAGUUAAUACCUUUGCUCAUUGACGUUACCCGCAGAAGAAGCACCGGCUAACUCCGUGCCAGCAGCCGCGGUAAUACGGAGGGUGCAAGCGUUAAUCGGAAUUACUGGGCGUAAAGCGCACGCAGGCGGUUUGUUAAGUCAGAUGUGAAAUCCCCGGGCUCAACCUGGGAACUGCAUCUGAUACUGGCAAGCUUGAGUCUCGUAGAGGGGGGUAGAAUUCCAGGUGUAGCGGUGAAAUGCGUAGAGAUCUGGAGGAAUACCGGUGGCGAAGGCGGCCCCCUGGACGAAGACUGACGCUCAGGUGCGAAAGCGUGGGGAGCAAACAGGAUUAGAUACCCUGGUAGUCCACGCCGUAAACGAUGUCGACUUGGAGGUUGUGCCCUUGAGGCGUGGCUUCCGGAGCUAACGCGUUAAGUCGACCGCCUGGGGAGUACGGCCGCAAGGUUAAAACUCAAAUGAAUUGACGGGGGCCCGCACAAGCGGUGGAGCAUGUGGUUUAAUUCGAUGCAACGCGAAGAACCUUACCUGGUCUUGACAUCCACGGAAGUUUUCAGAGAUGAGAAUGUGCCUUCGGGAACCGUGAGACAGGUGCUGCAUGGCUGUCGUCAGCUCGUGUUGUGAAAUGUUGGGUUAAGUCCCGCAACGAGCGCAACCCUUAUCCUUUGUUGCCAGCGGUCCGGCCGGGAACUCAAAGGAGACUGCCAGUGAUAAACUGGAGGAAGGUGGGGAUGACGCCAAGUCAUCAUGGCCCUUACAACCAGGGCUACACACGUGCUACAAUGGCGCAUACAAAGAGAAGCGACCUCGCGAGAGCAAGCGGACCUCAUAAAGUGCGUCGUAGUCCGGAUUGGAGUCUGCAACUCGACUCCAUGAAGUCGGAAUCGCUAGUAAUCGUGGAUCAGAAUGCCACGGUGAAUACGUUCCCGGGCCUUGUACACACCGCCCGUCACACCAUGGGAGUGGGUUGCAAAAGAAGUAGGUAGCUUAACCUUCGGGAGGGCGCUUACCACUUUGUGAUUCAUGACUGGGGUGAAGUCGUAACAAGGUAACCGUAGGGGAACCUGCGGUUG
rnacentral:rRNA from 1 species